UACGGAGGAUGCGAGCGUUAUCCGGAUUUACUGGGUGUAAAGGGAGCGUAGACGGUUACGCAAGUCUGGAGUGAAAGGCGGGGGCCCAACCCCGGGAGUGCAGUUUGAAACUGCCAUGCUGGAGUGCCGGAGAGGUAAGCGGGAAUUCCUAGUGUAGCGGUGAAAUGCGUAGAUAUUAGGAAGAACACCGGUGGCGAAGGCGACUUUCUGGACUGUAACUGACGUUGAGGCACGAAAGUGAUGGGGAG
rnacentral:rRNA from 1 species